AGGAAUCAAAGGCGAGAAAGGAAUGAAAGGACCCUGGGGUCAAAUGGGAGACAGAGGUCCUAAGGGACUGAAAGGAUUAAAAGGAGCAGUGGGCUUCAAGGGAGUUCGUGGGCCACCCGGAGACAUCGGAGGGUCUGGGAGAGCAGGACCAGUUGGUGCUAAAGGUGAAAAAGGAUAUGAAGGAAUUCCAGGGUUUCAAGGAGUUAAGGGAGAAAAGGGGACCACCGGUGCAGCAGGGCAUCCUGGGCUCA